UACGUAGGGGGCAAGCGUUGUCCGGAUUUAUUGGGCGUAAAGAGCGUGUAGGCGGCCAGACAGGUCCGUUGUGAAAACUCGAGGCUCAACCUCGAGACGCCGAUGGAAACCGUCUGGCUAGAGUCCGGAAGAGGAGAGUGGAAUUCCUGGUGUAGCGGUGAAAUGCGCAGAUAUCAGGAAGAACACCCGUGGCUAAGGCGGCUCGCUAGGACGGUACUGACGCUGAGACGCGAAAGCGUGGGGAGCGAACAGG
rnacentral:rRNA from 1 species